rnacentral:rRNA from 1 species
GCAAGUCGAACGAGAAUCUCUUCGGAGAGGACAGUGGCGCACGGGUGCGUAACGCGUGGAUAAUCUACCUUCGAAUCUGGGAUAACAUUGCGAAAGCGAUGCUAAUACCGGAUGAUAUUCGUUUCUCUUAGGUGAAGCGAAUCAAAGACGGCCUCUUCUUGAAAGCCGUUGUUUGGAGAUGAGUCCGCGUACCAUUAGCUAGUUGGUGGGGUAAUGGCCCACCAAGGCUACGAUGGUUAGCUGGUCUGAGAGGAUGAUC